AAUGGAUCAUGUGUUCCAGAUGAUAUAAGUAGAGGAUGAUGGAAUCUUCCUCAGCCUGGAUGGCUGCUUUAGUGAGAGGAGUACAGUUGCCCUUUAGCUGAAGCCCCAAGAGACCAUUAAGUCUUAUUCUGUGAAGUCAAAUUGACUUCUUUCCUUGCAUCUGGAAUGAUAAUAGUAUGUAACAUCCUUGGCACAACUGAACAAAAUAGUUGAGUUGUGAAAGGCUGCCCUACAAUGUUGCCAGACUUGCAAUGGACUUUGCCUGAAUGGGAAAUAAACUUUGUGAAGUUAGCCACUGAUAAUUUGGAAUUUUUUUUUUUUAGCCACUACAGAAUAAUCACUUCUGUCCUAAGACUGUUGUUUUAGGAAUAUCUUACCAUGAAUACCGUUUAAAAUUGUCUCACUGUGAGGAACCCCAAAUCAAAUUCCUUCCUAUGCAGGCUGAAAGAGAACAUCUGCAAUGGUCGUAAAUAUGGCAGAGUCCCAAGUAUCGCAUGUGAUUUUCUUGGCAUCCACUCAAGUACUGAUAAAGCUACUAGUGCCAACCUCAUCCCUACCUGCCACCCUGAAUCCGCUGCUUUUCUGCUUUGCAACUUGACCUUGACAUUGCUGCUGGAAUGUGACAUUGCUAGCACUUCCCACAUUGCUAUCACUCCCUCUGUCAGUACCCGUGCUCCUCGUUGUGGUAAAGGAGGUCCUUCUUUCCACCUAUACCCCACCCCCAGUAUUAACAAAGAAUGCCAGGGGAAAGUUCAACCCAAUAUUUUGGGCUAACUCACAGGAGUGUCUUUGAUGUCACUUCAUUAGCAAUAACCUAUUAUUUAUCCUAAGACUGGGAAAUAUGGCUUAAUUCUAAUCUCCACUGGGUGGAGGGGCUUAGAUUUCUGUGUAUCACUCCGGAUACACGUAGUGUAUCACUCCAGAUAGCCUAAAGGACCAUGGCAGAACUGAGCUUGCAUGAGUGGAUCUAGCUAUGAGAAUGAGGCAGAAAACUGAUAAGGGAGAAUCAAGGUGGGAAAAGAGGAAGAUGAGACUGUUUUAAACAUAAUCAGUCUGAGGUACCGUGAUGAACAUGAAAAGGGGAACACUGCUCAGUGAUUUAGAAAAAUAGAAAAAAACAGAUUCAGCAGUCAGCAACAUAAACAAAGCUGCAGGAGUAUAUAUGAGAAUAUUCUAUAUAGCUGGUUAAUUACAAACAACUGCCAUACCUGAAAACAUGGUUAACUAGAUAUUAGAAUUUUUUCUGCUAUGAAACAUCUAGGAAUAUUGAGUUAUAAAAUAAUGAUCAUCUGGAAGUACAUAGCUAAUCUUGCAAGUAAAAAGAGAUGUCUCUAAGGGGACAAGGUCAUAAAGGAAGAUGAAAAUAAGGAAACAAGUGGGUGAUGAAACCAUACCUAUCCUGACUGCAUGUAUGAAUCUCUUGUCACCCAGCAAGUUGUAUGUCAAUGACAUUGGGCGCACUCAGGGUAAAGAUUUAGAGGUGGAAGCCAGAGCCCUCAAAGAGCCAUGUGUUCAGUGAAAGUGUUGACCAUAAAAAAAAAUGUGUGUGUGAAAGCAAAGAGAGAAACAAACGUAUUUAUUUGUCCUGAGAAAGACAGAGAGAGAGCAAGUGCAGGAGAGGCAGACAGAGAGGGAGACAGAGAAUCCCAAGUAGGCUCUGUGUGCUGAUAAAGCAGAGCCCGACACAGGGUUCGAACCCAUGAAAUCUCGACAUCAUAACCUGAGCUGAAACCAAGAGUCAGAUGCUCAACCAACUGAGCCACCCGGGCACCCCAGGAAACAUAUAUAUUUUAGCCCAGACUUAGAUAAAAGCAAAAGUUUCUCCUUGAUUUAUAAAAAUCAAGCUGUCCCUCAAGAAGAGUUGGAAUUAUCAUUUGUAUGAUUUAUGUGAUCUGAUAAACUACACACAUUUUGAAUUAAAUAAUAUUAACUUAGUAGAGUCCUACAGUGCCAAGCAGAAGCAAACAUAGAUAUUCUCUGGAGAAAUUUGCCCUGAUACAGGGCUUGCAGAAUUUCUAAAAAUAAAACCCAACCAUUUGAACA
rnacentral:lncRNA from 1 species